rnacentral:sRNA from 1 species
UUUAAAACAACUAAGGAAUGCAGACCUUUGUUGUUUCUUCUUUUUGAGGUUGUGAUUCUUUCUCUGUGGGUGCAGUCCCAUUACCUUCAUCAUCUGACAAAAUUACAUAUGCUUCUUGAUCUUCAGUCUCAUCAUAUUCAUCAUGUUCUUCUACGUUUUCUUCUUUUGGAACCUGUAAACCAAAACAUCAAAACAAAUUUUUAUUUUUUGACAAUUUUAUCAUGUCUUUUUAAACAAUUAAGGAAUGCAGACCUCUGUUGUUUCUUCUUUUUGAGGUUGUGAUUCUUUCUCUGUGGGUGCAGUCCCAUUAUCUUCAUCAUCUGACAAAAUUACAUAUGCUUCUUGAUCUUCAGUCUCAUCAUGUUCAUCAUGUUCUUCUACGUUUUCUUCUUUUGGAACCUGUAAACCAAAACAUCAAAACAAAAUUUUUAUUUUUUGACAAUUUUAUCAUGUCUUUUUAAAAAGUUAAGGAAAGCAGACAUUUGUUUCUUCUUUUUUUUUGUUGUGAUUCUUUCUCUGUGGGUGCAGUAUCAUUAUCUUCAUCAUCUGACAAAUUUAUAUACGCUUCUUGAUCUGCAGCAUCAUUAUAUUCAUCAUGUUCUUCUACUUUUUCUUCUUUUCCUUCUUCUCUUUCCAUUUCUUCAUCGCCUUGUUUGGGAUUCUCUUGUUUUUCUGUUUCUUCAACAUUGCAAGUAGAAUGAUGAUCUCUGUAUUCAACCUGUAUAAAUAAUUACAAGUUCCCAAAUACAAGCCAGGACACAGUUAUUAGUCAUGUAAAUCACUUUUAAAAAGCUUUUAAAAUCCGUUGUAAAAUCUUAUCGAACACUGCCUAUCCUUUAAAAACGAAUUUCAAUCUUUUAAAACCCCAUUAAGAAGUCUUUAAAAUCCCUUGUAAAUACAUAUCUAACACUGCCUAUCUUUUAAAAACGGCUAAAAAUCUUUCAAACACGAUUUAU